rnacentral:rRNA from 1 species
AGGACGAACGCUGGCGGCGUGCCUAACACAUGCAAGUGGAGCGACGAACCAGGCUUCGGCCUGGGGCAGAGCCGCGAACGGGUGAGUAACACGUGGGUAACCUGCCCUGAUGAUUGGGACAACCCGAGGAAACUCGGGCUAAUACCAAAUGUGCCCCUUGGCCUCAAGGCCUCUGGGGAAAGGAAGCUUCGGCCUCCGCAUCGGGAUGGGCCCGCGGCCCAUUAGCUUGUUGGUGAGGUAAUGGCUCACCAAGGCUACGAUGGGUAGCUGGUCUGAGAGGACGAUCAGCCACACUGGGACUGAGACACGGCCCAGACUCCUACGGGAGGCAGCAGUGGGGAAUCUUGCGCAAUGGGGGAAACCCUGACGCAGCAACGCCGCGUGGAGGAUGAAGUCCCUUGGGACGUAACUCCUUUCGAUCGGGACGAUUAUGACGGUACCGGAAGAAGAAGCCCGGCUAACUUCGUGCCAGCAGCCGC